rnacentral:lncRNA from 1 species
GAUGAUCAUAGGAUUCAAACCCUUUUGGUAUCAAAUGUAAUGACCUGCGAUGUGAUCUGUAAUGUCAUGUAAUUUUUCAGAUGCUUGCAUGCAUCUUAUUUGAUGUUUUGAAUGGCCUGCGUGCCUCCUAAAAAGGGAAUGUAAUUUAUUAUUAUUUUAUUUUACAUCUGGUUGUAUUUCUGUGAUGUGAUGUACGUCAACGAUCAAGUUGAAGACAAGGCAUGAGAUGAACGGCG